AUUGAACGCUGGCGGCAUGCUUUACACAUGCAAGUCGAACGGUAACAGGUCUUCGGAUGCUGACGAGUGGCGAACGGGUGAGUAAUACAUCGGAACGUGCCUAGUAGUGGGGGAUAACUACUCGAAAGAGUAGCUAAUACCGCAUGAGAUCUACGGAUGAAAGCAGGGGACCUUCGGGCCUUGUGCUACUAGAGCGGCUGAUGGAAGAUUAGGUAGUUGGUGGGGUAAAGGCUUACCAAGCCUGCGAUCUGUCGCUGGUCUGAGAGGACGACCCGCACCACUGGAACUGAGACACGGCCCAGACUCCUACGGGAGGCAGCAGUGGGGAAUUUUGGACAAUGGGCGAAAGCCUGAUCCAGCAAUGCCGCGUGCAGGAUGAAGGCCCUCGGGUUGUAAACUGCUUUUGUACGGAACGAAAAGCCUGGGGCUAAUAUCCCCGGGUCAUGACGGUACCGUAAGAAUAAGCACCGGCUAACUACGUGCCAGCCGCCGCCGUAAAAC
rnacentral:rRNA from 1 species